rnacentral:rRNA from 1 species
GACAGCAGUCGCCGCGGUAAUACGGAGGGUGCAAGCGUUAAUCGGAAUUACUGGGCGUAAAGCGCACGCAGGCGGUCUGUUAAGUCAGAUGUGAAAUCCCCGGGCUCAACCCGGGAACUGCAUUUGAAACUGGCAGGCUGGAGUCUUGUAGAGGGGGGUAGAAUUCCAGGUGUAGCGGUGAAAUGCGUAGAGAUCUGGAGGAAUACCGGUGGCGAAGGCGGCCCCCUGGACAAAGACUGACGCUCAGGUGCGAAAGCGUGGGGAGCAAACAGGAUUAGAUACCCGUGUAGUCCCUGUCUCUUAUAC